CGAAAGGUAUGCUAAUACGGGAUAAUAUAUUUGAGAGGCAUCUCUUGAAUAUCAAAGGUGAGCCAGUACAGGAUGGACCCGCGUCUGAUUAGCUAGUGGGUAAGGUAACGGCUUACCAAGGCGACGAGCAGUAGCCGACCUGAGAGGGUGAUCGGCCACAUUGGAACUGAGACACGGUCCAAACUCCUACGGGAGGCAGCAGUGGGGAAUAUUGCACAAUGGGCG
rnacentral:rRNA from 1 species